rnacentral:misc_RNA from 1 species
AAGUUAUAACAAGGUCUCUGUUAAUAAACUAGCAGAGGGAUUAUUAUAGAGUUGUAAAACUCCUAUCACUAUUGCAAACUUACCUUAUACCUGUUGCUUCGGCAGGCAGCCUUAGGCUUCUGUUUUUAUAGAUCCUUAGGGCCUUAUAGCCUGAUUGUCAGGUGCCUACUAGAGGUUAUACAACUAGACAUUGUUUAUAGCCUAUUAGAAUUUGUACUACCAAUUAGUUAAAACUUUCAACAAUGGAUCUCUUAGUUCUA